rnacentral:SRP_RNA from 1 species
GCCGGGCGCAGUGGCAUGCGCCUGUAGUCCCAGCUACUCGGGAGGCUGAGGUGGGAGGAUUGCUUGAGUCCAGGAGUUCUGGGCUGUAGUGCGCUAUGCCGAUUGGGUAUCUGCACUAAAUUCGGCAUCAAUAUGGUGACCUCCCAGGAGCAGGGGACCACCAGGUUGCCUAAGGAGGGGUGAACCGGCCCAGGUCGGAAACGGAACAGGUCAAAACUCCCAUGCUGAUCAGAUAAUCAUUCUAAAUAUUCUAGUGGCAUUAAAGAUGGUUCCAGUUAU